rnacentral:rRNA from 1 species
CACCUUUUAACGGUGGACCCCUCGGGUCUUGCGCGUAUAAAAAACGCACCAAACUGCGAUACACAUUGUGAAUNGCGCAAUUCCGUGAAUAAUCGAGUCUUUGAACGCAAAUUGCGCCCUCGGUUUGAAGCCGGGGGCACGUCUGUCUGAGCGUCCGUU